GGUUGAUCCUGCCGGAGGCCAUUGCUAUUGGGAUUCGAUUUAGCCAUGCUAGUCGCACGAGUUCAGACUCGUGGCGAAUAGCUCAGUAACACGUGGCCAAACUACCCUUCGGAACACAAUACCCUCGGGAAACUGAGGCUAAUAGUGUAUACCACAGUCCACCUGGAAUGAGGACUGUGUCAAACGCUCCGGCGCCGAAGGAUGUGGCUGCGGCCGAUUAGGUAGACGGUGGGGUAACGGCCCACCGUGCCAAUAAUCGGUACGGGUCAUGAGAGUGAGAACCCGGAGACGGAAUCUGAGACAAGAUUCCGGGCCCUACGGGGCGCAGCAGGCGCGAAACCUUUACACUGCACGACAGUGCGAUAAGGGAAUCCCAAGUGCGUAGGCAUAGAGCCUACGCUUUUGUACACCCUAGGGCGGUGUACGAAUAAGGGCUGGGCAAGACCGGUGCCAGCCGCCGCGGUAAUACCGGCAGCCCGAGUGAUGGCCGAUCUUAUUGGGCCUAAAGCGUCCGUAGCUGGCCGCACAAGUCCAUCGGAAAAUCCACCCGCUCAACGGGUGGGCGUCCGGUGGAAACUGUGUGGCUUGGGACCGGAAGGCGCGACGGGUACGUCCGGGGUAGGAGUGAAAUCCUGUAAUCCUGGACGGACCGCCGAUGGCGAAAGCACGUCGCGAGAACGGAUCCGACAGUGAGGGACGAAAGCUAGGGUCUCGAACCGGAUUAGAUACCCGGGUAGUCCUAGCCGUAAAC
rnacentral:rRNA from 1 species